UACAACUCAUCAUUCUACCCACAUUGUUCAGUGGAUUCCACAACAGUCAGGUUCAAUAGAUUCGUUAGUCUGUUACAACGCGCAACUUCUACCGGGAAGCUUGACUAAAUUUGAAAGGAAAGAUGAAGAUCUUACUACCGUUGCUGCUGAUAGCUGGGUCUACCAUUGUUCAGGUUUUGUGUUUGGAGUGCUACUACUGUGAUAGUAUUACCGUAGAUCCUUCGACCGUGGAUUGUUUCGACAUUAAAUCACUAAAGACAGAAACCUGCCGUACUGGAACGGGUCAAACUGUGUGUGGCAUCCUGCAUUUAACAACCAGCACGGAGGAGGGAGUUCUCCGUGGAUGCGGGUCACCUGGAUCGUGCGCAUCGUAUGUUCCCCCACAGGGAGUAACCGUGAAACAUUGCAGCGAAUGCAAUACGGAUAAGUGCAAUGCAGCUUCCAUCGGCAGAGCUGGACUUGGACUUGUCGGCAGUCUGAUAAUUGGUUUGAUAGCUGCGAUUUUUAGAGAACGUUUCUAGUCUUGCAUUAUUUCAAGGAUGUGCGUCUGAAGAUCAGUGAGCUUGUCCUAGCUCGUGCUCGUUUGUUACUAAAGCAACCGCAAAUCUACGACAUACUUUGUUAAUUUAAGACUCCUGAACUAAUACACUCAAGUUUUUUUUUACGCGGUUUUUUUUGCGCGGUAUUUUUUUACGCGGUUUUUUUUUACGCGGAUUUUGAAAUUUACGCGGUUUUCAUUUACGCGGAUUUUGAAAUUUACGCGGUUUUCAUUUACGCGGAUUUUGAAAUUUACGCGGUUUUCAUUUACGCGGUUUUUGAAAUUUACGCGGUUUUCAUUUACGCGGAUUUUGAAAUUUACGCGGUAUCCAUCAAUGAGGUUCCCUUUAUUGCGGAUUCUUAAAUUUAAGUGGUCUUCAUUUACGCGGAUUUUGAAAUUUACGCGGUUUUCAUUUACGCGGAUUUUGAAAUUUACGCGGUUUUCAUUUACGCGGAUUUUGAAAUUUACGCGGUUUUCAUUUACGCGGUUUUCAUUUACGCGGUCUGUAUCCCCCGCGUAAAAAAAACCUGAGUGUAUAUCCUAAAUUAGUUUUUCGUUUGUUUGUAAUAUUGCACAACGUUUAAUUUCAUGAACCAGUAAUUAUAUUGUAUAUCGAACAUUCAGGUAAGAAUCAUUGAAAUCUGGUUAUAACUGCGUAAUGUUAGAAUUACGCCGUCGAUGAAACUCUUUACCUUUCCCAUAUUUUUAGUGUGUUCACUUGCUACUAAUACUACGAAGAUGAAAACGAACAUUCCGUAGAUAGUGACCGGAUUUCGAUAAUUUCGACCGCCGACAGUUUAUUUUUGGGCGACACGCCUCCAAUGUGAUAAAGUGCGCUUAUCUGGCCAAUAAUUGCUUAUGUUUAAUAGACAUUAUAAAUCGUUGGUAAUGUUAUCGGAUUGGGGCGAUUGAUGUCAUAUACCCGACAUUGAUUAGCAUUUGAAAAGGUUAAAUGAUUCAAGUAUAUUGAAUUGGCACCAGAUGACUGCAACGUUAUAAAACACAUCAUUUAUAGUUAGUAAUAAUUUUGUUUUUUUACAUUUCUUACAAAAGAAAUGUAUAGGAUUCGCUCAAACUAACCCUUCUAAAGUUUUUUCACAGACAGCUACGUGACGAAUGAAGAAAAUUUAAAGUCACGAAAAUAAAAAUAAAAAUUCACAGACAGCUGACUUCAUAGUGAAUUUUUUUCUAGAGUUCAUGUAUUGAUUCCUUCGAUUAGGCGUUGCGUUCAAACGCGAGGUAGAUGUUGGAGAGUAUAUUACGACACAGAUCUGCAAGUAAUCAACCUAAUAGUGAGAUAAUAGAUUUCCUCUAUAAUUAUACUCGUAGCAUCACCGAGAGUAACCGUAUUUUUGAAUCCCAAAAUCCUAGCGAAAAUUUGGCUUAUUUUGUCAGAUUUAGGUAUUACUGGUCAUGGCGCAAAAUUACUGGUUGCGUUAUGUAUAAUAAGGGUGUAAAGAAAUAAAUAU